rnacentral:rRNA from 1 species
GGCGAACGGGUGAGGAACACGUGAGGAAUCUGCCUUCCACUCUGGGAUAACUCCGGGAAACCGGGGCUAAUACCGGAUACUUUCAACUGGCGGCAUCGCCGGUUGAAGAAAGUUUUUCGGUGGAAGAUGACCUCGCGGCCUAUCAGCUUGUUGGUGAGGUAAUGGCUCACCAAGGCGACGAGGGGUAGCCGGCCUGAGAGGGCGACCGGCCACACUGGGACUGAGACACGGCCCAGACUCCUACGGGAGGCAGCAGUGGGGAAUAUUGGGCAAUGGAGGAAACUCUGACCCAGCGACGCCGCGUGAGGGAUGAAGGCCUUCGGGUUGUAAACCUCUUUCAGCAGGGAAUAAGCGAAAGUGAAGGUACCUGCAGAAGAAGCACCGGCUAACUAUGUGCCAGCAGCCGCGGUAAUACAUAGGGUGCAAGCGUUGUCCGGAAUUAUUGGGCGUAAAGAGCUCGUAGGUGGUCGAUCACGUCGGAUGUGAAAAUCUGAGGCUUAACCUCAGACCUGCAUUCGAUACGGGUUGACUAGAGUGUGGUAGGGGAGACUGGAAUUCCUGGUGUAGCGGUGGAAUGCGCAGAUAUCAGGAGGAACACCGAUGGCGAAGGCAGGUCUCUGGGCCAUUACUGACACUGAGGAGCGAAAGCGUGGGGAGCGAACAGGAUU